UACGUAGGGACCGAGCGUUGUCCGGAAUCAUUGGGCGUAAAGAGCGUGUAGGCGGUCUGUUAAGUUCAGGGUGAAAGCUCCCGGCUCAACUGGGAGAGGUCCUUGGAUACUGGCAGACUCGAGGGAGGUAGAGGAGAGUGGAAUUCCCGGUGUAGUGGUGAUAUGCGUAGAUAUCGGGAGGAACACCAGUGGCGAAGGCGGCUCUCUGGGCCUUUCCUGACGCUGAGACGCGAAAGCGUGGGGAGCGAACCGG
rnacentral:rRNA from 1 species